AUUGAACGCUGGCGGCAGGCCUAACACAUGCAAGUCGAACGAGUGGCGGACGGGUGAGUAAUGUCUGGGAAACUGCCUGAUGGAGGGGGUUAACUAUUGGAAACGGUAGCUAAAACCGCAUACCAUCGGAUUUGCCCAGAUGGGAUUAGCUAGUAGGUGGGGUAAAGGCUCACCUAGGCGACGAUCCCUAGCUGGUCUUCGAGGAUGACCAGCCACACGGGAACUGAGACACGGUCCAGACUCCUACGGGAGGCAGCAGUGGGGAAUAUUGCACAAUGGGCGCAAGCCUGAUGCAGCCGUGCCGCGUGUAUGAAGAAGGCCUUGGGGUUUUAAAGUACUUGCAGCGGGGAGGCGUUACCCGCAGAAGAAGCACCGGCUAACUCCGUGCCAGCAGCCGCGGUAAUUC
rnacentral:rRNA from 1 species